rnacentral:rRNA from 1 species
UACGUAGGGGGCUAGCGUUGUCCGGAAUCAUUGGGCGUAAAGCGCGUGUAGGCGGUUCGGUAAGUCCGCUGUGAAAGUCGGGGGCUCAACCCUCGAAUGCCGGUGGAUACUGUCGGACUGGAGUACGGAAGAGGCGAGUGGAAUUCCUGGUGUAGCGGUGAAAUGCGCAGAUAUCAGGAGGAACACCAAUUGCGAAGGCAGCUCGCUGGGACGUUACUGACGCUGAGACGCGAAAGCGUGGGGAGCAAACAGG